rnacentral:lncRNA from 1 species
UGCCUGCAGUUUAAAGGGCAAGUUAGCCAAGCGGACUUCAGAGGCACAGAAGACGGCAAGGUCCCUCUCUAGGGAGCUUUUCUACCCACCAUGGCUGUGCUCUGAACGUUUCACACACUUCCUCCUCUCAGCCCCGCCGGGCGUACUGCUCCACUCAGAGCUGAGGCCCCCGAGACCCUCAGGCGCGAGUGACACUGCCGGGCCCGUGCCGGGAGCUGGUGGGAGGUAGAUGUGAGAUAAAGUGAGGAGCACCUGACUUCAAGGUCAAAUAAGUUACGCUUGGUAAUAAUUGGAGAUGAGGGGUUGGGGAGAGGAAAGCCAGGAGGCUCUAACAGCCCUGGCUAAGCGACCAGUGACGGAGGGCGACAGAUCCAUGGUGAGGAGCUCAGAGGGAGGGACAAGAAUAGAAGCAGAGGAGACACCAUGGUGGCCUUAAGCAGGUGUUGGCAGUGGUCACAGCAAGGAUGGCAAGAAGUGUUCAGACCUGAAAUAUACUUUGGAGACAGAGGCUAGAGGCCUGGAGGCACAGCUGUACUCAGUGGAGCAAGACUGUUCAUCCUUCCAGGAGGUCACCUGAAGCUCAGCCAGGAUGGCAUGCUCUGCCCUGCAAACUCCGCAGAAGGAGCCCAUCUCUGGCCCCGCUCCUGUGACUAUGAGGAGUCUCCGCUGCCAGGCUUCCACCCUAAAAAGCAGCAUUGAUGACACAGACACCGGGGACCCUGGAACCAGGAGGGCAGAGGCUGCUGAGCCAACUGUGUCACUGGGGCCCUGAAUGUGUGGGGUUGAGCUUGACAGGCCAGGUCCCCACGCACGUAAUGAGAUGGUAGGAGAGCUGAGGAGUGGCGCACCCCCUCCCAGCAGGGAAGACACAGCCUGAACCCCGAGAUGCAGACAGGGAGGGGCCGCCUAGGGGAGGCCACGGCCCAGUGGGUUUCCUGCGAUGGUGCCCUUCUCCUGUCCUUCAUUCAGACUGCACACGUUAUCUUACUGUAAUAAAUACAUCCUGUCUGGCAACACAACCUGGAUUACCUACUGAAGAAGCCAAUGAAAAAUGGCCAGGAUCUUUCUAGGGUUUCCCCUUCUGCAUAGCACAAGAUUCAUCAGCCCCUCUCACGACUGUGUGGCCAAAGGCAAGUCCGACUGCACUGGUGUGAACCCUGCAGGCCAGGUGCCCGUGGGGACACGAGAGAAGCAGUGCCCAGGGGUGUGGGCAGGAGCCACCAAGCACAGUGCUCUGGGGAUGGGCGCACACAGGGAGAAGACAC